rnacentral:rRNA from 1 species
CAGCCGCCGCGGUAAUACGGAGGGGGCUAGCGUUGUUCGGAAUUACUGGGCGUAAAGCGCACGUAGGCGGCUUGGUAAGUUAGAGGUGAAAGCCCGGAGCUCAACUCCGGAAUUGCCUUUAAGACUGCCGAGCUAGUAGGUGAGAGAGGUAAGUGGAAUUCCGAGUGUAGAGGUGAAAUUCGUAGAUAUUCGGAAGAACACCAGUGGCGAAGGCGGCUUACUGGCUCAUUCUAGACGCUGAGGUGCGAAAGCGUGGGGAGCAAACAGGAUUAGAGACCCCAGUAGUCCCUGUCUCUUAUAC